UCAGGUGAAAAAAUUAACAAAUUCGCUUUCUUACACAUACCGGAAGAAGAACUGAAAAAUUUAAUUAAGCCAUUAGGAGAUUGUUAUCAAUUUUUGCUUAGGCGAACAGAGUAUCUUUCGGAAAGUAACCGAAUUGACCCGAAACCUAAGACAUUGUGUGCUCCGGGACAGAGUUUGAAGCAACUAUUGAAAAGUACAUUCUCCGGCCAAUAUAUACUUCAUCAGACUAAUCUUUUAUCAUGUGGUAACGACCUCGCAGCAUUAAUUGUCGACUCCAUCCUCAGUAAAAAUCGACAACCAAAAAUUAGAAGAGAACAAUACGAAUUUUGGGCCAAUGAAAUUGUUGCUAUAUGGCCUAAGGAAGAAUUGACUACAUAGUACAGACAUCGAGCCGAAGGCAAAGCAACUUCAGGGAAAUUAUUCAGUCGAUUUACCAAUCAAUCAAAAAAAAUUAAGCCAGCGGUUUUAGGGUUUUCAAAAGAAGAGAAACCUAAAGAAAAUAAUGAAGUCGAAGAAACUGUGAAGCUAUAUAUAGAUGAACUAGCUCAAACCUCUUUGGAUGAUACUGGUCGCAUUUUGUUUUUGUGGGAAAAAACAUUCCAAUAUCGUAGACAAAAUAUCGGCGAUAUUUCUGAUUAUUUUAAGAAAUUUAUUUAGUUGAAGACCCCAUUAGUGCUAAAAUUGUUGGAACUAGACUUUAAGUUAUUGGGAAUCGUAGAUACUAAUGCUUUGGAGAAAAAGUGGCCUAUUUUACAUCUUAAAGUGCUAAAAAUCUGUAAAACAAGAAAAGCAGCUUCAGAAUUUUUUAAUAAUGCAGAGGGAGUUCCAAAGGACGUAUUAGCUUGGCGAGUAUUUACAUACUUGUUCAGGCCAGUCGUAAUGAGUACAGGUACCAAAAAACCAUGGAAGCCGUCAAGUACAGAACAAUCUCAGGGAUUUAUAGCUUGGAUUGAUGAAAUUAAUCAGAUGGAUAGUGCGAUUGUCACACAAAAAGAAACGUGUGAACACAGAAAGAUAACUCUUCAACCGUUUGUGAUUGCUGUUGGACCAUUACAGAAGAUAAAAGCAGCCUAUGUGAUAAUUGAUGAUGAAAAAAUAAAAUUCACCACAGUUACUCAAGCUGUUGCUCUUGUUGGAAAGCGACGUACGCAUUGAAUGCCAAAUAUCAUAUUUCAUGCACUGCUGUGUGGACAUUCAUACAAAAAGAAAUCUACGGGUGUAAUGAAGAAAGAAGCAAUUACCAAACCGUCCAAUGGGUAAUUAAGGCUUUAAAUGAUAUAUCUGAUACCAAUUGUCUCAGUUCUUCAGGGUCUUCUGAUGA